rnacentral:rRNA from 1 species
UACAGAGGUCCCAAGCGCUGUUCGGAUUCAUUGGGCGUAAAGGGUGCGUAGGCGGCGCGGUAAGUCGGGUGUGAAAUCUCGGGGCUUAACUCCGAAACUGCAUUCGAUACUGCCGUGCUUGAGGACUGGAGAGGAGACUGGAAUUUACGGUGUAGCGGUGAAAUGCGUAGAUAUCGUAAGGAAGACCAGUGGCGAAGGCGGGUCUCUGGACAGUUCCUGACGCUGAGGCACGAAGGUCAGGGGAGCAAACGGG